UUUUGGACAAUGGGCGCAAGCCUGAUCCAGCCAUUCCGCGUGAGUGAAGAAGGCCUUCGGGUUGUAAAGCUCUUUCGCAAGGGAAGAAAACUUACUUUCUAAUAAAGAGUGAGGUUGACGGUACCUUGAUAAGAAGCACCGGCUAACUACGUGCCAGCAGCCGCGGUAAUACGUAGGGUGCGAGCGUUAAUCGGAAUUACUGGGCGUAAAGCGUGCGCAGGCGGCUUUGUAAGUCAGAUGUGAAAUCCCCGAGCUCAACUUGGGAACUGCGUUUGAAACUACAAGGCUAGAAUAUGUCAGAGGGGGGUAGAAUUCCACGUGUAGCAGUGAAAUGCGUAGAGAUGUGGAGGAAUACCAAUGGCGAAGGCAGCCCCCUGGGAUAAUAUUGACGCUCAUGCACGAAA
rnacentral:rRNA from 1 species